rnacentral:rRNA from 1 species
GACGAACGCUGGCGGCGUGCCUAAUACAUGCCAGUAGAACGCACAGUUUAUACCGUAGCUUGCUACACCAUAGACUGUGAGUUGCGAACGGGUGAGUAACGCGUAGGUAACCUGCCUGGUAGCGGGGGAUAACUAUUGGAAACGAUAGCUAAUACCGCAUAAUAUUAAUUAUUGCAUGACAAUUAAUUGAAAGGUGCAAUUGCACCACUACCAGAUGGACCUGCGUUGUAUUAGCUAGUAGGUGAGGUAACGGCUCACCUAGGCGACGAUACAUAGCCGACCUGAGAGGGUGAUCGGCCACACUGGGACUGAGACACGGCCCAGACUCCUACGGGAGGCAGCAGUAGGGAAUCUUCGGCAAUGGACGAAAGUCUGACCGAGCAACGCCGCGUGAGUGAAGAAGGUUUUCGGAUCGUAAAGCUCUGUUGUAAGAGAAGAACGGGUGUGAGAGUGGAAAGUUCACACUGUGACGGUAUCUUACCAGAAAGGGACGGCUAACUACGUG